rnacentral:sRNA from 2 species
AUAAACUGUUAGGUGAGACUCCUACGUGAACAAAUGCUAUCGCCCGGAAACAUCCAGAGAUGCCAACGGGUCAAAUAGUUUUCGUCGAUAUAAGGCGCAAACCAGAUAGCUAGCAGCACAAGCUUACGUCACGUAGUGUUAAAACUGAACGAUGAGUA